rnacentral:rRNA from 1 species
AGGGUUUGAUCCUGGCUCAGAACGUACGCUGGCGGCACGCCUAAUACAUGCAAGUCGAACGAAGUAGCAAUACUUAGUGGCAGACGGGUGAGUAACAUGUAGGUAUCUUCCCUAUGGUGAGGAAUAACACGAGGAAACUUGUGCUAAUACCUCAUAAGUCUUUACGGAGAAAGCUUUAUGCGCCAUUGGAUGAGCCUGCACUUGAUUAGUUUGUUGGUGGGGUAAUGGCCUACCAAGACAAUGAUCAAUAGCUGAUUUGAGAGGAUGAUCAGCCACAUUGGGACUGAGACACGGCCCAAACUCCUACGGGAGGCAGCAGUAGGGAAUCUUGCACAAUGGGGGAAACCCUGAUGCAGCGAUGCCGCGUGAGUGAAGAAGGCCUUUGGGUUGUAAAGCUCUUUCGUCGGGGAAGAAAAUGACUGUACCCGAAUAAGAAGGUCCGGCUAACUUCGUGCCAGCAGCCGCGGUAAUACGAAGGGACCUAGCGUAGUUCGGAAUUACUGGGCUUAAAGAGUUCGUAGGUGGUUAAAAAAGUUGGUGGUGAAAUCCCAGAGCUUAACUCUGGAACUGCCAUCAAAACUUUUUAGCUAGAGUAUGAUAGAGGAAAGCAGAAUUUCUAGUGUAGAGGUGAAAUUCGUAGAUAUUAGAAAGAAUACCAAUUGCGAAGGCAGCUUUCUGGAUCAUUACUGACACUGAGGAACGAAAGCAUGGGUAGCGAAGAGGAUUAGAUACCCUCGUAGUCCAUGCCGUAAACGAUGUGUGUUAGACGUUGGAAAUUUAUUUUCAGUGUCGCAGCGAAAGCAAUAAACACACCGCCUGGGGAGUACGACCGCAAGGUUAAAACUCAAAUGAAUUGA